rnacentral:rRNA from 1 species
AGUAACACGUGGGUAACCUGCCCAUCAGAGGGGGAUAACAUUCGGAAACGGAUGCUAAAACCGCAUAGGUCUUCGAACCGCAUGGUUUGAAGAGGAAAAGAGGCGCAAGCUUCUGCUGAUGGAUGGACCCGCGGUGCAUUAGCUAGUUGGUGAGGUAACGGCUCACCAAGGCCGUGAUGCAUAGCCGACCUGAGAGGGUGACCGGCCACAUUGGGACUGAGACACGGCCCAA